rnacentral:ncRNA from 2 species
CUACCAAGUCGCUGCAUCGGUUUCCGCAAGGAAUGAAAAGGGAAUCCAGCGCGCCCGAUGGGCGCGAAACGGAACUGCCCCCGCAACUGUAGGCGGCGAGCGCGAUCUGGCAGGCCACUGGGCACGAUGUCCGGGAAGGCAGGAUCCGCGCAACGACCCGCCAGUCAGGAGACCUGCCGGCGCGAAUUCACCAGA